UGCGUAGGCGGCUCUUUAAGUCAGUGGUGAAAUCUUGCCGCUUAACGGUAAAAUUGCCAUUGAUACUGAAGAGCUUGAGUACAGUUGAGGUAAGCGGAAUGUGUAGUGUAGCGGUGAAAUGCUUAGAUAUUACACAGAACACCAAUUGCGAAGGCAGCUUACUAAACUGUUACUGACGCUGAUGCACGAAAGCGUGGGGAGCGAACAGGAUUAGAUACCCUGGUAGUCCACGCCGUAAACGAUGCCCACUCGCUGUUUGCGAUACACAGCAAGCGGCCAAGCGAAAGCAUUAAGUGAGCCACCUGGGGAGUACGAUCGCAAGGUUGAA
rnacentral:rRNA from 1 species